CUUCCGCCCGCCGCAGGGCCGGGGCUCUAGUUUCAUUUCGCUACGGUGGUUUCAGUUUCAAGCUGGGAAGAGAGAUGGACUGAGCUGGGACGACAGAGGGGGAAAGGACAGGAUGGAAGGUGCUCAAGACUGCACCCAGCAGCCGGGAGCUCUAGGGUGAUUAGGACUAUGAGAAAGACCCGGCUUCAAAAACCAAAGAAAAAAAGAAAAAAAAAAGAUUGCAUCCCGCCCCGAGGGACAACUCAGCACCUGCGUCCGGACCUGUAUCGGGUGUUUGCCUGAGCCCGCCCACCUCUCUCCACCCCCACCUCUCCGCACCCCACCUCGCCCCACCCCCCCAUAUCCUUUCCUGCAGGUGGGACCCGGCCUGGCCUGCCUACCUGGUCCGGGAGCCAUGGGGACAGACACACCCCUGCGUAAGCCUGGCUGGCAGCCAGGACACCAAACCCACGUACCUGGGAGCCUCAGCGCCCCCAUGGGGCCUGAUCGAGCUUGGACAGGUUCUGGGUCAGGUGACUGGUCAGACACCACUGGGAGGUCAGCCCAGGUGCGGGUGGCGACCGGGGGGGGGGGGGGGGGGGAGAAUGGGAGGAAGGAGGAAUCGGGGCUUGCGGAGUGUAAGUGUGAGCGGCCAGGCUGCCUACCUAGGCUUUUCCAAAGGGCUCUGGAGAGUGAGGACAGCUCACUAUUUACUCUAUAAACACCCGGGACUCGUUCAACGCAUAUUCACACGUUCCCAGGUGGUGCAAUGAUUCCAGAACAUUCUGUCACCAUCAAAGGAAGCCCUGAUCCCACACCACCACCCCAGCAAACACAGGCAUGGAGGCCUAAGUUCGAACCUCCCUGUGGCACCCAUAAAAUACCUGAGAGAUGACAGCCCCUGUACUCUUAACCCCAGCACUGGGGAAUCAGACUCAGUCUGGCCAAACCAGUGAGUAUCAAAAAUAAAAAAGACGCUUGAGGGGCUGGAGAGAUGGCUCAGCGGCUAAGAGCACUGACUGCUCUUCCAGAGGUCCUGAGUUCAAAUCCCAGCAACCACACGGUGGCUCACAACCAUCUAUGAUGAGGUCUGAUGCCCUCUUCUGGUGUGUCUGAAGACAGCUACAGUGUAUUUAUAUAUAUUAAAUAAAUAAAUCUUAAAAAAAGAAAAAAGACGCUGGAGAAAUG